AAAUAUCUCCUACUCGCUUGUCUCUGGCGAUCAAUUAAUCCAGACAAAACUAAGCAGCUUGUCUUUACACUAAAUUGUCAAAAAAGAGAAAAUAAAAUAUGCAAAUCAGAAAUAAUAAGAGCACUGAGUCUUACCUUUUUAAUUGGUUGUAUUUAAAAGAAAAGAUUCCAAGGAAGCCUUUGCAGUUGGUUUGGUAUUAAGCUGGUGCAAGCUGUGGCAGCCUACUUUUCCUUUGCUUUGAUCUGAAUUCUGUUGAAGCACUAAAAGUUAAAAGUUCAUCGUUGUAGUGCUUUUUUUGUUAAGUCAGAAACACAGGAGAGCCCUCAAUUUCGCUUUGAUAUCCUGAUAAAGAAAGGUAAUGUGGGGUGUUUGGUUCAUAGUAUAUUUGAUGCAAAAUGUUUACAAGUAUAUUUUACUCUUUCACCAGACCAUUUUAUUUUUGGCGAUGUUAUUAGCAUGUGGGACAUGUCAUUUGUAUUUGAGAAUGCCGGUUUUAUUUAUGUGCUGGAUCACUACUGAGUCUGUAAGAAGCCUUGAGGAACACACAAGAAAAAAAACUGGAGAUAAACUUGAGAAAUCUCUAACUUGUGCCCUUUCAUAUUUGUUCACAAAUGAUACAAAUGCACGGUGUUAUUCGAAGCGCGUGUGUGUUUCACUUACACGGCACUGCUUUUAACCAAGUCGAAUCGACCGGUACUACCUCAUUUUUUUCUGGAUUCUUGAUUCAGAGAGUUAUCACUCCCAAUCAGUUUGCCUGGAAUAUGGUCUCGAUUAUACCAUUCUUUCGGCUUUUUGUUUUAUUCUCUUGUCAAUCCAGUUCUCUAUAAAUGUAGAAUGACAGAGUUCAAAGUCCUGCCACGGUAAUCCUUCUUAACCAUAAGUAACAUUUAUUUCACACGAUCACCUUUGUCUAGACUGAAGGGGCUUUUACGUGGUCUCAGGCAAAUGUUGAGCAAAGAAUUCUUAACAUACCAUGUUCAAAAGAUAAAAGAAAUUUCCUUGCACUUUGUGCACAACUGAUUUUCUGAAAUGCCAUUUAAAGGCUCGAAAUCGCACUAAAAGUGCUCUCAAUUAUAUCCACGUAUCAGCACUAAUUUGUAAAGAGAUAAUGCUAUCUCUUCAAUUAUGUUUGCAACUCGUUUUAGUUUUCAGUAUUGUUUUUAAGGACGACAAAAAAUGAUCAGUUUAUCCUUUAAGGACCAAACAGUGUCGGUUCUUGCUACUCUCAGUAGGAUCUAACUAACUGUUCACAGAGUAGUCACGUCCUGUUGCAUGUCAAGCCAUCUGGUCGGCCUGAGUAACUGUAUUGUGGCCGCGAACUGCCAGUGAAAAAUUCGAAUAUUUUUGUACAAUAAGUGUAAAUAGAAGUGAGAAAUAAA